GAUGAACGCUGGCGGCGUGCCUAAUACAUGCAAGUCGAGCGAACAGAUGCGGAGCUUGCUCCUCUGACGUUAGCGGCGGACGGGUGUGUAACACGUGGAUAACCUCCCUAUAAGACUGGGAUCACUUCGGGAAACCGGAGCUAAUCGCGGAUAAUCUAUUGAUCCGCAUGGUUCAAUAGUGAGAGACGGUUUUGCUGUCACUUCUAGAUGCAUCCGCGCUGCUUUGGCUGGUUGUGGAGGUAAAGGCUUAUCAAGGGGACGAGGCGUAGCCGACCGGAGGGGGUGAUAGGCCACACGGGAACGUGGACACGGUCCAGACUCCUACGAGAGGCAGCAGUAGGGAAUCUUCCGCAAUGGGCGAAAGCUUGACGGAGCAACGCCGCGUGAGUGAUGAAGGUCUUCGGAUCGUAAAACUCUGUUAUGAGGGAAGAACAAAUGUGUAAGUAACUAUGCACGUCUUGACGGUAACUAAUCAGAAAGCCACGGCUAACUACGUG
rnacentral:rRNA from 1 species